rnacentral:lncRNA from 1 species
UAGAUAUAGCAUAAUUUAAUUAACAUAAACUACAUAUUUUUUUAUUCAAGUAACUCGUAUUACGGUGUAUGUGCUCAAAGUGAUGUGAAAAUGAUGUGUGUAUGUGCCCAACGUGCACAAAAUUUUACAUGCCAUCUUGCAUGCUUAAUAUACGUGACAUAUUUUAGGUCGCUACAAAGUUCACGUCGUCUCAAUUAAUAUGUUAAUUAAUGAUAUUUUUUUAUAUAUUAACGUAACUUUUAAUAACUGAAUAAUUGUUGUAUAUAUAUUGAUGUUUUAUUUAUAUAUAACAUACUAAAAGAAAAGACGUGCAAUCAAGAAGGAAGGGCCAUGCGGCCGGCCGCCGAUUCUCUGUCCCAUGUAUGAGGGGAUUUGAAGAUAUUUUCCUUUUCUUUUUUUUCUUAGAUCAAUUAAUUGAUUUUAAAAAUCUAAAAAUUAACGGUUUAGAUUUAUUUGAAAUAUUAUCUUCUUAGAGGUAAAGGGUGUACCUUAGCAUUUUUCUAAAAAUAUAGCUUUAAAGAUAAAAUAACACAUACGUGUCAAGGCUUUGAUGUAUAAUGCAUGGAUAUUUUUGUUAGUUUCAUAGAUAAUGGAAGUGUGGGGGUAUAAACCUCUGUAUCCUUACGGCUAGACUUCGGCCAAGAAGCUUGGCCCAUUACGAGACGAGUUCAAGGCUUGAUCCGACAACCUAGAGUUUCGCGCAAGGAAACAAGAUGGGGAGAUCAAGCAGGAUUCUAGUCGGUUAGAAUAGGAAUUGAUAUCGAAUUAUCCAUAGCAAUUGUAACCGACUAGGAUUAGUUUCCAGAUCUGUAACCCUGCCCU